GAAACAUGCUGCUAUAAAAGUAAGGGUUUUGGAAAAGCAGCUCAACAAAUUCCCUCUCAAUCCAACUGCAACAUUAUCUUGUUUUCUUCACGUGCCUUGUAGGACCUUGGCAUGGAUUGUUGGCCUGGUUUUAACAUGGAGAUUUUUUUUUUUUAAGCAAGCAUUUCUCUUGUCUGGGAAAAUGUGCCCACAGGGAUGGCAGGGAAUAUCCACGUUUUCUUUAUUUUUUAAAAACAUAUUUUGAUUGAG